rnacentral:rRNA from 1 species
GAUGAACGCUGGCGGCGUGCCUAAUACAUGCAAGUCGAGCGAACGGACGAGAAGCUUGCUUUUCUGAUGUUAGCGGCGGACGGGUGAGUAACACGUGGAUAACCUACCUAUAAGACUGGGAUAACUUCGGGAAACCGGAGCUAAUACCGGAUAAUAUUUUGAACCGCAUGGUUCAAAAGUGAAAGACGGUCUUGCUGUCACUUAUAGAUGGAUCCGCGCCGCAUUAGCUAGUUGGUAAGGUAACGGCUUACCAAGGCGACGAUGCGUAGCCGACCUGAGAGGGUGAUCGGCCACACUGGAACUGAGACACGGUCCAGACUCCUACGGGAGGCAGCAGUAGGGAAUCUUCCGCAAUGGGCGAAAGCCUGACGGAGCAACGCCGCGUGAGUGAUGAAGGUCUUCGGAUCGUAAAACUCUGUUAUUAGGGAAGAACAAAUGUGUAAGUAACUAUGCACGUCUUGACGGUACCUAAUCAGAAAGCCACGGCUAACUACGUGCCAGCAGCCGCGGUAAUACGUAGGUGGCAAGCGUUAUCCGGAAUUAUUGGGCGUAAAGCGCGCGUAGGCGGUUUUUUAAGUCUGAUGUGAAAGCCCACGGCUCAACCGUGGAGGGUCAUUGGAAACUGGAAAACUUGAGUGCAGAAGAGGAAAGUGGAAUUCCAUGUGUAGCGGUGAAAUGCGCAGAGAUAUGGAGGAACACCAGUGGCGAAGGCGACUUUCUGGUCUGUAACUGACGCCGAUGUGCGAAAGCGUGGGGAUCAAACAGGAUUAGAUACCCUGGUAGUCCACGCCGUAAACGAUGAGUGCUAAGUGUUAGGGGGUUUCCGCCCCUUAGUGCUGCAGCUAACGCAUUAAGCACUCCGCCUGGGGAGUACGACCGCAAGGUUGAAACUCAAAGGAAUUGACGGGGACCCGCACAAGCGGUGGAGCAUGUGGUUUAAUUCGAAGCAACGCGAAGAACCUUACCAAAUCUUGACAUCCUUUGACAACUCUAGAGAUAGAGCCUUCCCCUUCGGGGGACAAAGUGACAGGUGGUGCAUGGUUGUCGUCAGCUCGUGUCGUGAGAUGUUGGGUUAAGUCCCGCAACGAGCGCAACCCUUAAGCUUAGUUGCCAUCAUUAAGUUGGGCACUCUAAGUUGACUGCCGGUGACAAACCGGAGGAAGGUGGGGAUGACGUCAAAUCAUCAUGCCCCUUAUGAUUUGGGCUACACACGUGCUACAAUGGACAAUACAAAGGGCAGCGAAACCGCGAGGUCAAGCAAAUCCCAUAAAGUUGUUCUCAGUUCGGAUUGUAGUCUGCAACUCGACUACAUGAAGCUGGAAUCGCUAGUAAUCGUAGAUCAGCAUGCUACGGUGAAUACGUUCCCGGGUCU